GCAUCUCAGAAAGUACAAAGCACGGGUCAAUGCUGUCACGCUGUAAGCACCAUGGCAGCUAACGUUGGUGUGCUACGAGGAGAAUUAAAAUACAGGGAUGGUCUUACCAAAGAGAUUGUUAUAACAACAGAAAAUAAUUUGACUUCUAUGAUAGUGGGGAUUAAGAAAUUAAAUGCAGACGUAUCAAGGCUCCUUACAGAUUCAAUUGUACAAGAAAAUCUUUACAAAGGGGAUUUGCAAGUCGAUGAUGGAGAGGAGGAAGACGUCAGUGAAGAUGAUGAUGAUGAGGAAGACACAAAAACAAAAGUACCUAUUAAGGAGCCGCCUGCAAAGCGGUCAAAGACAUUAAGGGCCUGAGGAUACAAAUGCUCUGUUCCAAAUGGAGCCUGUGUCUUUAUGUACUGCACUAACCAAGGCCUGAGAAAGGCAAAACGCUGGGAAUUGGGUGCCAUUUGACAAGAGCACUGUUCGAAGAAAAGUUGGGUUGUCCUUGCAUAAGUCUGGAGGACAUGUUGUGGGCACACUGUUUUGGUGCCUUCAAUCUAAUCCACUGUGUGGCUAUUAGUAAUUAUUUCCAUGACAACACAUAUGGUUACUGCGAUUGUUGGGUUAAUUGCCUGCCUAUCUUUCUGUCUUGUUGAGCUUGCAAAUUAAAGUGAUUAUUUUUACGUGAA